UACAGGGGGGGCAAGCGUUGUUCGGAAUUACUGGGCGUAAAGGGCUCGUAGGUGGCCAACUAAGUCAGACGUGAAAUCCCUCAGCUUAACUGGGGAACUGCGUCUGAUACUGGAUGGCUUGAGUUUGGGAGAGGGAUGCGGAAUUCCAGGUGUAGCGGUGAAAUGCGUAGAUAUCGGGAAGAACACCCGUGGCGAAGGCGGUUCUCUGGGACGGUACUGACGCUGAGACGCGAAAGCGUGGGGAGCGAACAGG
rnacentral:rRNA from 1 species